GUCUUUUUGGUUAUUUAAUAUAAAGUCUGACCUGCCCACUGAAUUUAUUUUGAAGGGCCGCAGUAUUUUGACUGUGCAAAGGUAGCAUAAUCAUUAGUCUUUUAAUUGAAGGCUGGUAUGAAUGGUUGGAUGAGGUACAAGCUGUGUCAUAAAAAUUAAUAAUUGAAUUUACCUUUUUAGUCAAAAGGCUAAAAUAAAAUUAAAAGACGAGAAGACCCUAUAGAGCUUUAUAUAAUUUAUAUUUAAAUUAUUAAGAUUUUUUAAAUUUAAUUAUUUUAUUAUAUUUUGUUGGGGUGACAAUAAAAUUUAUAAAACUUUUAUUUUUUGUUAACAUUUAUUUAUGAAUACAUGAUCCAGUUUUAUUGAUUAUAAAUUUAAGUUACCUUAGGGAUAACAGCGUAAUUUUUUUUGAGAGUUCUUAUCGACAAAAAAGAUUGCGACCUCGAUGUUGGAUUAAGAGUAAUUUUGGGUGUAGAAGUUCAAAGUUUAAGUCUGUUCGACUUUUAAAUUCUUACAU
rnacentral:rRNA from 1 species